UCUUAAACAGAGAAUAAUUCAGAACAUCAAGAGAUGUCAAAGAAAUGCUAAUAUUACAAAGUACAAAGAGAUGCCAAGAUUUCUAUUACAGGUCUCCCAAACAUCAAAACUCCCACAAUCACUAGCGUAUUGAAUUCAUUCUUUCCUCCCUCCCAAUCCCAUCUUGUGCACAAAUUGUAGGAAUAGCAUCAAAAGCUUUAAAAGNNNGAUUAAAAAAAAAAAAAAACUAGAAAGAUAAACAUAACAUGAACAAAGAGAAGUCAUUUACAGAUACACAGAAUAAAAAAUCAGUAAGGAGUGUAGUAAUACCCAGCCGGUGG
rnacentral:misc_RNA from 1 species